ACCUGGCUGGCUCAGUUGGUAGAGCAUGCAACUCUUGAUCUCAGGUUUGUGAGUUUAAGCCUCACAUUAGGUG
rnacentral:tRNA from 1 species